GACGAACGCUGGCGGCGUGCCUAAUACAUGCAAGUCGAGCGCUGAAGGCUGGUACUUGUACCGACUGGAUGAGCAGCGAACGGGUGAGUAACGCGUGGGGAAUCUGCCUUUGAGCGGGGGACAACAUUUGGAAACGAAUGCUAAUACCGCAUAAAAACUUUAAACACAAGCUUUAAGUUUGAAAGAUGCAAUUGCAUCACUCAAAGAUGAUCCCGCGUUGUAUUAGCUAGUUGGUGAGGUAAAGGCUCACCAAGGCGAUGAUACAUAGCCGACCUGAGAGGGUGCUCGGCCAAGUUGGGCCUGAGACACGGCCCAAACCCCUACGGGAGGCAGCAGUAGGGAAUCCUCGGCAAUGGAAGAAAGUCUGACCGAGCAACGCCGCGUGAGUGCAGAAGGUUUUCGGAUCGUAAAACUCUGUUGGUAGAGAAGAACGUUGGUGAGAGUGGAAAGCGCAUCAAGUGACGGUAACUACCCAGAAAGGGACGGCUAACUACGUG
rnacentral:rRNA from 1 species